rnacentral:rRNA from 1 species
GAAGUAAAAGUCGUAAACAAGGUUUCCGUAGGUGAACCUGCGGAAGGAUCAUUACAGAAAUAGGAGAAGGUUGCUUAACUGCAAUCCUUUUCUUUCUACACAUGUGUUUUUCUUUUUUUUGAAAACUUUGCUUUGGUGGGCCCACGGCCUGCCAGAGAUUAAACUCAACCAAAUUUUUAUUUAAUUGUCAACUUGAUUAACUAAUAGUCAAAACUUUCAACAACGGAUCUCCUGGUUCUCGCAUCGAUGAAGAACGCAGCGAAAUGCGAUAAGUAAUAUGAAUUGCAGAUAUUCGUGGAUCAUCGAAUCUUUGAACGCACAUUGCGCCCUUUGGUAUUCCAAAGGGCAUGCCUGUUUGAGCGUCAUUUCUCCCUCAAACCUUCGGGUUUGGUGUUGAGCGAUACGCUGGGUUUGCUUGAAAGAAAGGCGGAGUAUAAACUAAUGGAUAGGUUUUUUUUUCCACUCAUUGGUACAAACUCCAAACAUUCUUCCAAAUUCGACCUCAAAUCAGGUAGGACUACCCGCUGAACUUAAGCAUAUCAAUAAGCGGAGGAAAAGAAACCAACAGGGAUUGCCUUAGUAACG